GCGCGCGCAGCCCGGGUUCCCGCUCUUGCCUCUCCCUCCACACCUCCCUGCAAGCUGAGGGAGCCUGCUCCGGCCUUGGCCAGCACAAAAAGGGGCUCCCACAGUGCAGCGGUGGGCUGAAGGGCUCCUCAAGUGCUGCCAAAGUGAGAGCCCAGGCAGAGGAGGCGCCAAGAGCGAGCGAGGGCUGUGAGGACUGCCAGCACGCUGUCACCUCUCAGCACUACUGACCAGUGUAAGGAAGAGCUGGUCACCUUGAAGGGGGGCAGUGGGAAGCCAGGAAUCAGCUUGUGCCCAGAGGGAAAGAAUUGAGCUGCUAAAACUGUAAGGGAGAGCUUACCUUGCAGACUGGCUGUGCAGCUGUGCGUGGGAGCCGGCUGCUGAGAGGAGCUGCAGAGCCGGAGCAAACAGCAGAGAUAAAGGUGGACAGUGAGAGAGCUAAUGAGCAAAAAGGGAAUUCAGAGGACAUCCUAAUGAAAAAUGAAAAUGGAUCAUCACACAAGUAGCUUAUUAUGAGAUGUAAAACCCCAUGAAAAAUUAAUAUAAUAUUUCUCAAGCAGGGUAAGUUGUGUGUAUGUUUUAAUAAUCCAGAACACAUGGAUAUUUUACAUCCAACUAGAAGGCAGAGAUGUAAGGUGAAAGUGACCUUGUAAUAAGGAAGAAUUCACGUAUGGCUGCAGGAUGCUUGAGUGAGCAGACUAACUGGUGACUGAAAUUAGAAAACCCUUCCAAUCAGUGUGAGGUAGAGAGAGCAUAUAUUGACAGAAUGACUGAAAUGACAUUGACAGCCAGUAGGUCUCAGGCUGCUCACACAUAAGUAAGCCUACAUGGGUAUCUUGGUGAAAGAAAUUACUUAUCAUUUUAUUUUAGUUUUUGAAGAGAGGAAGAGCGCAGAGAAAAGGUGUGUUUCUUUGGUUUGGGAAUGUGCAAAUUCCAUUUUCAAGCCUUGUAUUAGCUAGUUUAUAUUUUCUGUCAUUAGUAAUAUUCUUUUCUUCUCUAGGUAAAACAGCCUUGCUUUAGUGUAUUCGCUAGACCAAUGCUUCAUCCAUAAAGAAUAAUUUGGUGUUCCUAGAUAAAAACCUCUUCCUGCCCUUAUGCAGCACAGAGAUAAUAUUUUAAUAGCUGACUUGGUUAAUUGUGGGUUUCACGAGGCAAUGUAUUUUUGGUACAUUAGGAGACUAUCUACGUCUAACUCUUAAUCUUGAUGUCCCAAAGUUUUCCAUUUAAAAUAAUAUUGUUUUCCUAGGCAGCAUGGCUGACCCCUGCAUUUCCUUUUUUCUUUUGCUUCUCCUUGUACUGGUCUCUAACUUUCAAAUUUUCCAUAAUUAUAGAGACCAUAUAUCCCAGGCUUUCAGAAGCUGUCCAAUUUCUCCUUGCAGUUUUGCAAAUCACUGAAAUAAAUGUCCUAAGCAUCCAAAUAACAUUUGCUAUAUUGCCUAUCCCAUCAGAAAGCUGUACAAAAUUCCUGAGUCAGGUGCAUUGUGAUCCGUUUAUAAGGAAGAUAUGGUCUGUGAGCCCAUGUAAGGCAUGUUUGAAAACUUAAAUGAAUCCACUUAUUUGUAGGUUAUGAAUGCUUUGCUUUAGUCAGUAAGUAUGUUUUUACCAACAUAAGAAAAUGCUAUGUGUUGGUAAUGAUCCAAUUUUUCCUCCUUCCAAUAGUUAACUCUGUUUAAGUAUUUAUCGAAUGUCCACUUUAGGCAGGCUCCCUUUUACUUCUUGGCCACAGAUUCAGUUCCAAGUUCUUAGGAAAAAAAAAAAAGGAUUAAGAUGUGAGCUGAGCAGUCCAUGUGUUAACAUAGUCAUCUCAAAGAUAAAAUGUUUUCUAGCCCAGACACGGUGGCUCACGCCUGUAAUCCCAGCACUUUGGGAGGCCGAGGCGGGCAGAUCACAAGGUCAGGAGAUCGAGACCAUCCUGGCUAACACGGUGAAACCCCAUCUCUACUAAAAAUACAAAAAAAAAAAAAAAUUAGCCAGGCGUGGUGGU
rnacentral:lncRNA from 1 species